CUGCUGUGGGAUCCCCAUGGUGUUUGUUUAUCUCUGUCUCCUCUGCAACACACCCUGAUCAAUCUCCACUGAUAUUUGUAGUCAUUUUGACACUUUGAGGUCUGGGGUUUUAACUUUCUUCUUGUUUUACUAAAAAUGAAUUAAAGAAAAUCUUUUUCUUCUCCUUUAUUGCUUCUGUAUUUCCAAGAAGAAAAUGGUAGAAAUGCUGAGUUUACAUUUCAUGUGAAAACUUGAGUCCUACUCAGAAAUGUUGGAUUGUCCAACAUUUCUAACAACACUUAGAAAUCAAGUUAUUUUGUUUGAUUAUCUGAGAUUUUAAUCAGUCUUUUCUUCUUUUUCGAAGAAUGGUAUACUUCCUACUAUACUCAUUAUAACUAGAUUGGCUGGUGAAAUAAAUGGCCUUUAAGAUUGGCCUCAAUGUUUUUGAAAAUUAGGGAAUGGUUUAAUAACAAUAUUUAAACACCGUUAUCCAUUACCAUUUUGGUACUUAAUAACUGUUAGGCAUCAUGGUAUUCUCAUUGCCAACAUACUUUAUUUUUCUUUCUUAAAAGUAUAUUUUAUUGGUACAUAAUAGUUGUACAUAUUUUCAUACUUAAUAUUAAAAUGCUGACCAUACCUUUGCUUGGUGUUUCGUUGUUGAUGAAUUCUAGAUGGAUGAUGUAGUCUCUUUUAUAUCUGCAGGCAGAUGGAGUUAUUGUUAUGGUGUUUAGGACAAGCCAAUUGUGUUAAAGCAUGUGACACACCUAAUUUCAGAAACCAGAGGGGAAAUCACCACUUAUUCAAGUUCAAGAGAGAAACUUAGUGCUGCCCUUCAUGUGUGAGCCUCUCACUCCACCCUACAUCCAGGGCUCCGAAUAGUAUGACUGUGAGUAUAGCUGAGUUCCAAGAGCUUCCUCAUCAUGGUUUCUGAUAGGGAAAUCCCCCUGUGCUUGCUCCUGUUGGGAACAUCUGUUUUGUGUCUCUCUGGUGUUUGGUGACAUAACAUAAUAAGAUGGCAGGAGGCAGAGAAAAAAAAUAUGUUGCAAUAAAAAUGUCCUGAAAGAUACUUAGUUCUAUUUA
rnacentral:lncRNA from 13 species